rnacentral:miRNA from 1 species
CAGAAUUUGUAAAGAACUCUUAAAACCCAAUAGUAAAAAGAUAACCUGCUGAGUUUUAAGAGUUCUUUACAUAUUCUG